GAGGGUAUAGCUCAAAGUGGCAGAGCACAUGCUUAGCAUGCACAAGGUCCUGGGUUCAAUCCCCAGCACCUCCU
rfam:Camelus ferus unplaced genomic scaffold scaffold301, whole genome shotgun sequence.